rnacentral:rRNA from 1 species
ACGAUGGAUCACCAGUGAGCUGGCGGACGGGUGAGUAACACGGUAGGUAACCUGCCCCGGAGCGGGGGAUAACAUUUGGAAACAGAUGCUAAUACCGCAUAACAACAAAAGCCACAUGGCUUUUGUUUGAAAGAUGGCUUCGGCUAUCACUCUGGGAUGGACCUGCGGUGCAUUAGCUAGUUGGUAAGGUAACGGCUUACCAAGGCGAUGAUGCAUAGCCGAGUUGAGAGACUGAUCGGCCACAAUGGAACUGAGACACGGUCCAUACUCCUACGGGAGGCAGCAGUAGGGAAUCUUCCACAAUGGGCGCAAGCCUGAUGGAGCAACACCGCGUGAGUGAAGAAGGGUUUCGGCUCGUAAAGCUCUGUUGUUGGAGAAGAACGUGCGUGAGAGUAACUGUUCACGCAGUGACGGUAUCCAACCAGAAAGUCACGGCUAACUACGUGCCAGCAGCCGCGGUAAUACGUAGGUGGCAAGCGUUAUCCGGAUUUAUUGGGCGUAAAGCGAGCGCAGGCGGUUGCUUAGGUCUGAUGUGAAAGCCUUCGGCUUAACCGAAGAAGUGCAUCGGAAACCGGGCAACUUGAGUGCAGAAGAGGACAGUGGAACUCCAUGUGUAGCGGUGGAAUGCGUAGAUAUAUGGAAGAACACCAGUGGCGAAGGCGGCUGUCUGGUCUGCAACUGACGCUGAGGCUCGAAAGCAUGGGUAGCGAACAGGAUUAGAUACCCCUGGUAGUCCAUGCCGUAAAACGAUGAGUGCUAGGUGUUGGAGGG